UCCCUCUCAGGGUUGCACCUGGAGAGUUUCGAGUCCUCUACCAGUCUCGAAUACAGGAGGGAGAGUCAAGCAGAGGCCCGUCCAUUCCAUUCCUAGCUUGGCCUGUGGCUAGUGAGUGGCAGGCAAUCUGCUACAAGU